UACGUAGGGGGCUAGCGUUGUCCGGAAUCAUUGGGCGUAAAGAGCGUGUAGGCGGUCCGGUAAGUCCGUUGUGAAAGUCAGGGGCUCAACCCUUGAAUGCCGGCGGAUACUGUCGGGCUAGAGUCCGGAAGAGGCGAGUGGAAUUCCCGGUGUAGCGGUGAAAUGCGUAGAUAUCAAGAGGAACACCUGAGGUGAAGACGGGUUGCUGGGCUGACACUGACGCUGAGGCGCGAAAGCUAGGGUAGCAAACGGG
rnacentral:rRNA from 1 species